rnacentral:rRNA from 1 species
AUGGCGAACAACGGGCUCGUCGCUGAGAAGGACCCACUUUUCUGGGGUGCGGCGGCGGCCGAGCUCACCGGCAGCCACCUCGACGAGGUCAAGCGCAUGGUGGCGCUGUUCCGCGAGCCUGUCGUCAGGAUCGUGGGCGCCGGCCUCAGCGUCGGCCAGGUGGCUGCCGUCGCCCAGGCCAAGGAUGUGUCCAGCGUCACCGUCGAGCUCGCCGAUGAGGCACGCGCCCGCGUCAAGGCCUGCAGCGAGUGGAUCCUGGACUCCGUGGCCAACGGCGGCGACAUCUACGGCGUCACUACUGGCUUCGGUGGCACCUCCCACCGUCGCACCAAAGAUGGGCACGGCCUCCAAGUUGAGCUCGUCAGGCAUCUCAUUGCUGGCAUAUUCGGCACCGGCAGCGACCACGAGCUGCCAUCGGAGGUUACACGUGCGUCCAUGCUCGUGCGCAUUAACACCCUCCUCCAGGGCUUCUCCGGCAUACGUUUCGAGAUCCUUGAGGCCAUCACAAAGUUCAUCAACAAAGGAGUGCACCCGAGAAUUCCCCUCUGA